rnacentral:lncRNA from 1 species
UACUGUGGUAGUGCUAAGUGAUACGGUUGGGGCAUCGGGCUAUACUGUGGUGGUGCCGGGUGGUACUGUAGUUGGGGCACUGGAUCAUACUGUGGUGGUGCCGGAUGGUACUGUGGAGGAACAAGGUCGUACCGGGGUGACUCAGAAUCCUUCCGUUGCAAGGGUGGCUCAUCCUGUGGUAGCGGGGUCAGGUAACUCCAUUUUUUCCUCUUGGGCCUGCUGGGCAGCGAUGAAUCUCUCUAGCAUUUCAAAUAAUCGGUCAGCAUCCUCUCGAAGUGAACCCUCCCAAGCGACUCAGUUUAGUGGGACUGUUCCUCUCCUCAUCGAUCUGUACUAGCAUUUCACAAGGAAUGAUUGAGUGAUAAUUCAUUCUUUGGUGUUUCCUAGGGGUUUUGUGUAAGGAAUGAUUCCGAGGAAUGCAGCUCUGAUACCAACCGUAACGGCCCAGAACUUGAAAGGAAAUAAAUUAUAAAUUGAAUUCGGAAGCGAAAUAAUAAUGUUAGAGUUUACAUUCCUUACACAAUAAUUUAGAAUACCCAAUAGGGCUACGGGAAUGACCCUUCUAAAAGAACAACGGAACAUCUU